GAUGAACGCUGGCGGCGUGCCUAAUACAUGCAAGUCGAGCGGCCGGACGAUAAGAUCGCUCUCCUACUGUUAGCGGCUGACGGAUGGGUAAGACGUGGAUAACCUACCUAUAAGACUGGGAUAACUACGGGAAACAGCAGCUAAUACUAGCUCAUAUUAUGUACGGCAGGAUUCAAAAGUUAAUGACGGUCUUGCUGUUAGUUAUAGAUGAAUCCGCGUUGCAUUAGCUAGUUGGUAAGGUAACGGCCUACCAAGGCAACGAUGCAUAGCCGACCUGAGAGGGUGAUCGGCCACACUGGAACUGAGACACGGUCCAGACUCCUACGGGAGGCAGCAGUAGGGAAUAUUCCGCAAUGGGCGAAAGCCUGACGGAGCCACGCCGCGUGAGUGAUGAAGGUCUUCGGAUUGUAAAACUCUUUUAUUAGGAAAGAAAAGAUGUGUAAUUAACUGUCGACAUCUUGACGGUACCUAAUCAGUAAGCCACGGCUAACUUCGUG
rnacentral:rRNA from 1 species